rnacentral:tRNA from 1 species
CGCGGGGUGGAGCAGUUCGGUAGCUCGUCGGGCUCAUAACCCGAAGGUCACAGGUUCAAAUCCUGUCCCCGCCA